UAUUUCUGGUGAAUAAACGCAAUAGGACGAAAAGCCGCAGACAAUAACUGCCUACUAUAAUCGCAAGAAAAUAUCCUUUCAGGGAAAAAGAACAAUCGAAUUACGUUGUUGUCUCAUGAAAAUAAUUAUCCUCAAGACAUUCCGAUCAAGUAAGAAAAUCUAAAGCCAAUUGUGGAAAAUUGGUAUGGACUCCCUUGCAAAUUCUCUGAGUAUAGCAAUGACCAUGCUCAUUCCUUUGUUUGCCAUAAAAUUAGCAUAUGCCAUUUCGGAUAAACAUACACAAAGUAAACGAUGUGAAUUUUCAGGAGCGUGGUUUGGGAUUAUGGUUUCAUAAAUCAGUCGAAUAAACCCAAAAAUAUUAGAACUCGUCCUUCUACUCUUCUCGUUACAAUACAGAAGGAUGUUUUCCUAUUUUUAGAUGUUUGAUGACAGAACAUUGGCAUGAAUGAUUGACAGUGGAGAACAGUCUAGCGCUUAACAAAAAAUGAAAAGGAACAGUGGGGGGCAUUACAAAAAUUUAUUAUGAAAUUACUUUAAUUAUAUUGUUAAAUUAUAAACGUCAUUAUAUGAGUCAAUAAAAUCAAUUUAAAUUGCCACGCUUAGCCAAAAUGUA